CUUCCAAAUCCUUUGUAAUGCAAACAGUAGAAUGUACAUAUUUUCUGCAACCGCGAAGAAAAUGUAAAUAUAACUUUAUUAGCCUACCUACCGAGUUGUUAAUUGAGUUGCACGGCACUACUUUCCGAUAUUGAUUUCUUCACAGAAGAAGGACGUAUUAACUCAGAUUCGAGACAGCAAUGAUUUGUGCUCGUCUGCUGCGGGAGAAUGCGAAGACAUUACUCCAAUAAUAAAGAAUCUGGGUACUUCGAUACACAAAACGAGCCCUGUCGAGUCCUAGUUCUACCUUUAUCCUGUUGGAUUUGGUCAAGGACAACUUCAUAAACGUUUUGCAGACGAUUGUGAUCGGUGGUUCAAUCAAUUGGAUGUUUUCCGGAUUCGUCACGACGCAGGUUCCGUAUCCACGGACUCUGCGCGUUAAGUCAAUGUUGUAACGGGGCGUUGAGCUAGCCUCACUUAAUGCCGCCUGGGUUUCGUCAGCUUCGUGAUAUCUCCCGAAUGUGUUUGGCUGAGAAGUAAUUACACGCUGGUCCUGGGAGAAUUGAGUA